CGGUUAAAAAGCUCGUAGUUGGAUUUCUGUCGAGGUCAACCGGUGCACAUUUCAUGUCGCAUUUGGUUUGGUCUUGGCAUCCUCGUGGGGAACGUUUCUGGACUUUAUUGGACAGGGCGAGAUUCACGACUUUUACUUUGAGGAAAUUAGAGUGUUCACGGCAGGCAAGUGCUUUGAAUACAUUAGCACGGAAUAAUAAUAUAGGACCUUCGUUCUAUUUUGUUGGUUUCUAGAACUUAGGUAAUGAUUAAUAGGGACAAUUGGGGGCAUUCGUAUUAACGCGUCAGAGGUGGAAUUCUUGGAUUGCGUUACGACGAACUACUGCGAAAGCAUUUGCCAAAGAUGUUUUCAUUGAUCAAGAACGAAAGUAUGGGGAUCGAAGACGCUUAGAUACCGUCGUAGUCUAUACCAUAAACUAUGCCAACUAGGGAUUGGAGGGGUUAUCCUAUGUGGCUCCUUCAGCACCUUAUGAGAAAUCAAAGUUUUUGGGUUCCGGGGGGAGUAUGGUCGCAAGGCUGAAACUUAAAGGAAUUGACGGAAGGGCACCACCAGGAGUGGAGCCUGCGGCUUAAUUUGACUCAACACGGGAAAACUCACCACGUCCAGACAUAGUAAGGAUUGACAGAUUGAUAGCUCUUUCU
rnacentral:rRNA from 1 species